rnacentral:rRNA from 1 species
UAGGAGUGAAAGGCUAAUCAAACUGGGAGAUAGCUGGUUCUCGCCGAAACAUAUUGAGGUAUGGGGUCAGUCGAUUUGCACGGGGGGUAGAGCACUGGAUGGGCUAGGGGGACCACAAUCUUACCGAACCCAACCAAACUCCGAAUACCCGUGACAACAGGCUGGCACUCAGGCAGUGAGAGCUAAGUUUCAUUGCCGAGAGGGAAAGAACCCAGACCGGCAGCUAAGGUCCCCAAUUCAUCACUAAGUGGUAAAGGAUGUGGGAGCGCUCAGACAGCCAGGAGGUUGGCUUAGAAGCAGCCAUCCUUUAAAGAAAGCGUAACAGCUCACUGGUCGAGCGAACCUGCGCCGAAAAUUCAACGGGUCUAAGUGAUGAACCGAAGCUCCGGGUCUGCCGAAAGGCAGGCGGUAGGCGAGUAUUGUCUGUACGGUGAAUACGUACGGUAACGAGCGUUGGAGUGCAGACAAGAGCUGAUGUUGGCAUGAGUAGCGAUAAACCGGGUGAAAAACCCGGUCGCCGUAAACCCAAGGGUUCCUGGGUAAAGAUCAUCUUCUCAGGGUCAGUCGGUCCCUAAGGCGAGGCAGAAAUGCGUAGUCGAUGGGAAGCAGGCGAACAUUCCUGCACCAGCACGGAUGGUUUUGUAAGAUGGGACGGAGGAGGAUAGUCGAGCGACCUGAUGGAUGGUCGUUCAAGCCGGUAGGCGGUCUGCGUAGGAGGCAUCUGGCCACAAACGCGCGGGCAACGCCGAGAGGUGAUGAGGGUCGCCGCAAGGCGGACAACUCGAUGAGUCCACGCUUCCAAGAAAAGCAUCGUACAAGUCAACCGCUGUGCUGACCGUACCGUAAACCGACACAGGUGGGUGGGGAGAACAUCCCAAGGCGCUUGAGAGAACUCGGGUUAAGGAACUCGGCAAAUUGACACCGUAACUUCGGGAGAAGGUGUGCCCUUGAGGGUGAACUGCUGGCGCAGGGAGCCUUUGGGGGUUGCAGAGAAUCGGGGGUAGCGACUGUUUACCAAAAACACAGGACUCUGCGAAGUCGCAAGACGACGUAUAGGGUCUGACGCCUGCCCGGUGCCGGAAGGUUAACAGGAGAUGUCAGCGCAAGCGAAGCAUCGAAUCGAAGCCCCGGUAAACGGCGGCCGUAACUAUAACGGUCCUAAGGUAGCGAAAUUCCUUGUCGGGUAAGUUCCGACCUGCACGAAUGGCGUAACGAUCUGACGACUGUCUUAACAAUCUGCCCGGCGAACUUGUGGUUCCGGUGAAGACGCCGGAUGCCCGCAUCAAGACGGAAAGACCCCGUGCACCUUUACUAUACCCUAUCAAUGAACUAUGGGGUGCUCUGCGCAGGAUAGGUGGGAGGCUUAGAACCCGGUUUUUUGGAAUCGGGGGAGCCAACGGUGAGAUACCACCCUGAGCAUUCUGUGGUUCUAACUUACUUCCCUAAACGGGAAGAAGGACAUUGGUAGGCGGGUAGUUUGACUGGGGCGGUCGCCUCCUAAAAUGUAACGGAGGCGCUCGAAGCUUGGUUCAGGAGGCUUGGAAAUCCUCCAUCGAGUGCAAAGGCAUAAACCAGGUUGACUGCGAGACCAACAAGUCAAGCAGGUGCGAAAGCAGGACUUAGUGAUCCGGUGGUUCUGAAUGGAAGGGCCAUCGCUCAACGGAUAAAAGGUACUCCGGGGAUAACAGGCUUAUC